rnacentral:rRNA from 1 species
AGGGUUUGAUUCUGGCUCAGAACGAACGCUGGCGGCAGGCCUCAUACAUGCAAGUCGAGCGGUCCUUCGGGACAGCGGCGAACGGGUUAGUAACGCGUGGGAACGUGCCCUUUAGUACGGAAUAGCCAUUGGAAACGAUGAUUAAUACCGUAUACGCCCCAAGGGGGAAAGAUUUAUCGCUAAAGGAUCGGCCCGCGUUAGAUUAGGUAGUUGGUAGGGUAAUGGCCUACCAAGCCGACGAUCUAUAGCUGGUUUGAGAGGAUGAUCAGCAACACUGGGACUGAGACACGGCCCAGACUUCUACGGAAGGCAGCAGUAGGGAACCUUGGACAAUGGGCGAAAGCCUGAUCCAGCCAUGCCGCGUGAGUGAUGAAGGCCCUAGGGUUGUAAAGCUCUUUCGCCAGGGAAGAUAAUGACGGUACCUGGUAAAGAAACCCCGGCUAACUCCGUGCCAGCCGCCGCGGUAAUA